GGUACGUGCGGGCCAGGAGUGGCUGGAAUGCUGAGGGUGGAAGGGUGAAUCUGAAGUACCGGGCGUAAAGGGUGGGUAGGCGGUGCUUUAAGGCGGCUGUGAAAUCCCCGGGCUCAACCGGGGAAGGGCAGUGGAUACUGGGGAGCUAGAGUGUGAUAGAGGAUGGUGGAAUUCCCGGUGUAGCGGUGAAAUGCGUAGAGAUCGGGAGGAACAUCAGUGGCGAAGGCGGCCAUCUGGAUCAACACUGACGCUGAGGCACGAAAGCGUGGGGAGCAAACAGGAUUAGAUACCCCAGUAGUC
rnacentral:rRNA from 1 species